UGGGAACCUUCCCUAUGGUUCGGAAUAGCUCAGGGAAACUUGGGGUAAUACCGGAUAAGCCCUUCGGGGGAAAGAUUUAUCGCCAUUGGAUGGGCCCGCGUCGGAUUAGCUAGUUGGUGAGGUAACGGCUCACCAAGGCAACGAUGCGUAGCCGACCUGAGAGGGUGAUCGGCCACAUUGGAACUGAGACACGGUCCAGAUUCCUACGGGAGGCAG
rnacentral:rRNA from 1 species